rnacentral:rRNA from 1 species
GAUGAACGCUGGCGGCGUGCCUAAUACAUGCAAGUAGAACGCUGAAGGAAGGAGCUUGCUCUUUCCGGAUGAGUUGCGAACGGGUGAGUAACGCGUAGGUAACCUGCCUGGUAGCGGGGGAUAACUAUUGGAAACGAUAGCUAAUACCGCAUAACAGUAGAUGUUGCAUGAUAUCUACUUAAAAGGUGCAGUUGCACCACUACCAGAUGGACCUGCGUUGUAUUAGCUAGUUGGUGAGGUAACGGCUCACCAAGGCGACGAUACAUAGCCGACCUGAGAGGGUGAUCGGCCACACUGGGACUGAGACACGGCCCAGACUCCUACGGGAGGCAGCAGUAGGGAAUCUUCGGCAAUGGACGGAAGUCUGACCGAGCAACGCCGCGUGAGUGAAGAAGGUUUUCGAAUCGUAAAGCUCUGUUGUAAGAGAAGAACGAGUGUGAGAGUGGAAAGUUCACACUGUGACGGUAUCUUACCAGAAAGGGACGGCUAACUACGUG